CAAUUACUCCCUCCGUUCCUAAAUACUUGUCUUUCUAGGCAUUUCAACAAGUGACUACAUACGGAGCAAAAUGAGUGAAUCUACACUCUAAAAUAUGUCUACAUACAUCCGUAUGUAGUAGUUACAUCCGUAUGUAGUAGUCAUUUGAAAUGUCUAGAAAGACAAGUAUUUAGGAACGGAGGGAGUAGAAA
rnacentral:pre_miRNA from 1 species